rnacentral:rRNA from 1 species
CGCAGUGGCAUUUGUCUGAGUGAAGCCUUCGGGCGAAAAAAAUGAAUCAAAACUUUCAACAACGGAUCUCUUGGUUCUGGCAUCGAUGAAGAACGCAGCGAAAUGCGAUAAGUAAUGUGAAUUGCAGAAUUCAGUGAAUCAUCGAAUCUUUGAACGCACAUUGCGCCCGCCAGUAUUCUGGCGGGCAUGCCUGUUCGAGCGUCAUUUCAACCCUCAAGCCCCCGCGCUUGGUGUUGGGGACCGGACCCGGGAGGGCUUUCUCCUCCAGGGCGCCGCCCCCGAAAUUCAUUGGCGGUCCCGCCGCAGCCUCCUCUGCGUAGUAGCUCUUACGAACCUCGCACCGGAGAGCGGCUGGCCCACGCCGUAAAACCCCCCAACUUCUGAAUUGUUGACCUCGGAUCAGGUAGGAAUACCCGCUGAACUUAAGCAUAUCAAUAAGC